ACGAACGCUGGCGGCGUGCUUAACACAUGCAAGUCGAACGGAAAGGCCCUGCUUUUGUGGGGUGCUCGAGUGGCGAACGGGUGAGUAACACGUGAGUAACCUGCCCUUGACUUUGGGAUAACUUCAGGAAACUGGGGCUAAUACCGGAUAGGAGCUCCUGCUGCCUGGUGGGGGUUGGAAAGUUUCGGCGGUUGGGGAUGGACUCGCGGCUUAUCAGCUUGUUGGUGGGGUAGUGGCUUACCAAGGCUUUGACGGGUAGCCGGCCUGAGAGGGUGACCGGCCACAUUGGGACUGAGAUACGGCCCAGACUCCUACGGGAGGCAGCAGUGGGGAAUAUUGCACAAUGGGCGGAAGCCUGAUGCAGCAACGCCGCGUGCGGGAUGACGGCCUUCGGGUUGUAAACCGCUUUCGCCUGUGACGAAGCGUGAGUGACGGCAAUGGGUAAAGAAGCACCGGCUAACUACGUG
rnacentral:rRNA from 1 species